UACGUAGGGUGCAAGCGUUAAUCGGAAUUACUGGGCGUAAAGCGUGCGCAGGCGGUUUUGGAAGUCAGAUGUGAAAUCCCCGGGCUUAACCUGGGAACUGCGUUUGAAACUACAAGGCUAGAGUGUGACAGAGGGGGGUGGAAUUCCACGUGUAGCAGUGAAAUGCGUAGAGAUGUGGAGGAACACCGAUGGCGAAGGCAGCCCCCUGGGUUAACACUGACGCUCAGGCACGAAAGCGUGGGGAGCAAACAGG
rnacentral:rRNA from 1 species